rnacentral:rRNA from 1 species
CCUACGGGUGGCAGCAGUGGGGAAUAUUGGGCAAUGGAGGCAACUCUGACCCAGCAACGCCGCGUGAAUGAUGAAGGUCUUCGGAUUGUAAAGUUCUUUUCUAAGGGAAGAAGAAAGUGACGGUACCUUAGGAAUAAGCCUCGGCUAACUACGUGCCAGCAGCCGCGGCAAUACGUAGGAGGCAAGCGUUAUCCGGAAUGACUGGGCGUAAAGGGUGCGUAGGUGGUUUGACAAGGUAGUAGGGCAACUCCGGAGCUCAACUUCGGAACUACUACUAAAACUGUUGGACUUGAGUGCAGGAGGGGCAAUCGGAAUGCCUGGUGUAGCGGUGGAAUGCGUAGAUAUUAGGAGGAACACCAGUGGCGAAGGCGGAUUGCUGGACUGUAACUGACACUGAGGCACGAAAGCGUGGGGAGCAAACAGGAUUAGAUACCCCAGUAGUC